AUGAGCGCUGGCGGCGUGCCUAAUACCUGCAAGUCGCGCGAACAGACGAGGAGCUUGCUCCUCUGACGUUAGCGGCGGACGGGUGAGUAACACGUGGAUAACCUACCUAUAAGACUGGGAUAACUUCGGGAAACCGGAGCUAAUACCGGAUAAUAUAUUGAACCGCAUGGUUCAAUAGUGAAAGACGGUUUUGCUGUCACUUAUAGAUGGAUCCGCGCCGCAUUAGCUAGUUGGUAAGGUAACGGCUUACCAAGGCAACGAUGCGUAGCCGACCUGAGAGGGUGAUCGGCCACACUGGAACUGAGACACGGUCCAGACUCCUACGGGAGGCAGCAGUAGGGAAUCUUCCGCAAUGGGCGAAAGCCUGACGGAGCAACGCCGCGUGAGUGAUGAAGGUCUUCGGAUCGUAAAACUCUGUUAUUAGGGAAGAACAAAUGUGUAAGUAACUAUGCACGUCUUGACGGUACCUAAUCAGAAAGCCACGGCUAACUACGUG
rnacentral:rRNA from 1 species